rnacentral:lncRNA from 1 species
CCGCCCCCACACGAAGCCUCCGGCGAACCGCGGGCGGGCAGAGGCGGUCCGGGCAGCGAGCGCUCGGCGUCGCUCUGCAGCUUGGUAUUGUCCUGGCGAGAGUCCUCCAGGACUGUCGGGCGCGGCUGGCACCUCGGUCCUCGCGACGGCGGGAACCGGGACUCGGGCUCUGAACCCGAGUGGUGACCGAGGAGCCGGGCCCGGCUCUCCCGGUUGCACGCGGCUGGGUGGACGCCCGCGCGGGGCUCAUGCGCGCGGGUUCCCGACUCCGACCCGCGGGGGGUCGGUACUGAAGGUCAAAACCGGGACUUUUCAGCCUAUCCAGGAUUUAUUUCAUAGGUUUGGAUGAGAGACCUCAUGUGGGCUUCAGGUCCUCAUCUUCAUGAGAAUUGGGACUGGACCCCCAGCAGCGAGGAGCCUUGAAGGCUGGAGAGAAAGAGUUUCCAUCAUGGAUCUCUCCUGAGGGAAUAUUCCAGAUUUCCUGAGUCGUUUCCAGGUCGAGGUCCUGUAUGCCUCUUCUGUUCUCAGGACCAGUUCCUGUCAGAGUGGGAAGACCUGAUCUUGGAUAUUUGGUUUUGAUCCUUUGUGAAAAGCUGUAAAGACAAAUUUCCACCCCUAGCUGUAAAGAACUCUUGGUGGGAAAUUAUAAUUCCUUUAGGGAGAUUAAAAUCUCAUUUGGAUUACCC